ACCAUUUUGAAGGCGCCAAAUUUUUGCGUCAAUACGCAGCGCCGUGACUGCCCGGUCAAUACAGCAGCCGACCUAACCUACCAACUACUCGUUGCGCCAUGUAUAUCCAUGACUCGGAUUCCUUCGAAUUCCGUCGUUUUGCGGAACGCGUGAUUCACAAAGGAUCCUUGCUCUCUCUCACAUCGUGCCGUUCUCCUCGUGCUGUUCUCUUUUCGUGCACGAAUUCUAUCAGUGGAAUUUUGCAAAAAAAAAACGUAGCGUGAACCGUGAUAUAUAUUCCAACGCGAGCGUGGUAAUAAACGACCUCCUGGUUGCUAUGAAUAUUGCAUAAGAAUAUUAUAAUGCUUUUUAUUAUUUUUAUUAUUUUAAUGUUUUUUUUCUCAUGUGCGUGAUGCGUGUAUGCGGUUAAUCUCACUGAUAACUUGCUGAAACUAGGAUAUCGUCGUGAAGCUUGCCCUGCUGGCUGUUGGGUCUAGAGCACGUUACGUUUCAUCUCACUUAUCACCAUCACUUACGCCGUACACAAGUGGUCUAAAUAACACGGUGUAAAUUGCCAUCGCAAGUUAACCAGGAGGAAUCAAAACAAAUCUUUUCUGAGAACUCUCUUCCUGCACGUUGUUUAUUUUGAUCGUUGCAUCUACUGUGCGCGCGUGCAGCGAAGAUUCGUUUCUUUUAAUUGUUUAUGCUUUUCGAUUUAAUCGAUCGGCAUUGAAAAGAUAUAUAUAUAUAUUAGCAGCGUCGUUUGCCUAACACGUUCGAUGUCGGGCUAAUUUUGAACAAACUAUUUCGAAACGUUAAGAGAAAACCAUUUUUGGCACUCGACCUACAAAAUCUGAACGUCGUUUUUCUGCAACAAUCACUUUCUUGUAAUGUAUUUAUGAUCGCUUGGUGAGAAAAUCAAUUUCAAAUUCGGUACACGUAGCACUGAACGUGUUAAAAGUUAAUACACAACGUGUAUUAAAUAUUUGUGUUUCACCUCUCUUGUUGGUAGGGACAGUAACGCGGCGCCUUCAACCGGUUCGUUUUCUUCAGUCAUGUAACAUUAAACUAUUAUUCUACACGGCUCGGUGAAAUCAUAUCUGUCGUGUAUAAUAUACUGAUCUUGGUAGUAAUGCAAUAACGGCGUCAGGCGUCAUGCAUCUUGUCUGACAGUCUUUUUUUUACUUUCUUUUCAAAAGAAAGAUGUGCGUCUAUUUACAUACAGGGUGUCCGCAUAGUUUAAGCGUCGGGCGAUCAAACUGUUGCCUGUGUGUGUGUGUGUGUGUGUGUGUGUGUCACGGAUAGAAAUGAGAGAAAAGAAUGUUAUAUAAACUUGCUUAGGGUUUUUACUUCACGAUUUAAAUUAAUAAGAGCUUGUUUUUUUAUUUCUUGUACGAUGCAAGUGAAUUUCACUGAUGCUCAUACAAACUUGACAUUCAUUUAAAUUCCAUAUUUCUAUCCUAACUUUUUUACCAAGCGUUUGCUAUGGUCAUGUAACAUUUUUUUCUCUUAUUUCUGUCCGUAGAAUAUACUGGCGAAGUUUCAUCACUUAAAUUUGAGGACACCCUGUAUAUACCUGUAUAUAUAUAUACAUAGAAAGAAAUGCUUUUAACCCACUAAAGGUCAACGUAAUUGCAAUAUUUUCCAAUCAAUUUCUGCUCAUUCCAAGGGUUCGUUUGUAUUUCAAUUGUAUGAAAUUUAGAUUCAAUUUUAUUUCA